rnacentral:rRNA from 1 species
UACGGGGGGAGCAAGCGUUGUUCGGAUUUACUGGGCGUAAAGGGCGCGUAGGCGGCCAGCACAAGUCAGUUGUGAAAUCUCCGAGCUUAACUCGGAAAGGUCAACUGAUACUGUGCGGCUAGAGUGCGGAAGGGGCAACUGGAAUUCUUGGUGUAGCGGUGAAAUGCGUAGAUAUCAGGAGGAACACCGAUGGCGAAGGCAGAUCUCUGGGCCGUAACUGACGCUGAGGAGACGAAAGCAUGGGGAGCGAACAGG